GAUGAACGCUGGCGGCGUGCUUAACACAUGCAAGUCGAACGAUUAAACCGGCUCCGGCCGGAUAUAGAGUGGCGAACGGGUGAGUAACACGUGACCAACCUGCCCAUCACUUUGGGAUAACCCGGGGAAACCCGCGCUAAUACCAAAUACUCCGCGGGCCCCGCAUGGGGCCCGCGGGAAAGCUCCGACGGUGGUGGAUGGGGUCGCGGCCCAUUAGCUAGUCGGUGGGGUAACGGCCCACCGGGGCGACGAUCAGUAGGGGUUCUGAGAGGAAGGUCCCCCACAUUGGUACUGAGACACGGACCAAACUCC
rnacentral:rRNA from 1 species